CAGGCAAAUGGAAAAUCAUUGCGUCAUAUCAUAAGUACCCUGAAUCUACCACAUCAUUGGAGUUUGAGGUCAAGGAAUACGUUUUGCCCACAUUUGAGGUUACCAUUGAGGCUCCACAGCCUUACCAUAUUUUGAAGAGCAAGUCCUUUCCAUUCAACAUCUCUGCUAGAUAUACUUAUGGGAAGGGGGUCAACGGUAUAGCAUAUAUUCGAUUUGGACUUAUUGAUGAAAAGGGUAAUAAGAUAUAUCUUCCAGGCACUGAAAAGCAGAUA